rnacentral:rRNA from 1 species
UUGAACGCUGGCGGUAUGCUUAACACAUGCAAGUCGAACGGAAACGAUACUAGCUUGCUAGUAGGCGUCGAGUGGCGGACGGGUGAGUAACGCGUAGGAAUCUGCCUGAUAGUGGGGGAUAGCCCGAAGAAAUUCGGAUUAAUACCGCAUAAUCUAUUCGUAGUAAAGUGGGGGACUUUCGAGCCUCACGCUAUCAGAUGAGCCUGCGUAAGAUUAGCUUGUUGGUAGGGUAAAAGCCUACCAAGGCGACGAUCUUUAGCUGGUCUGAGAGGAUGAUCAGCCACAUCGGGACUGAGACCCGGCCCGAACUCCUACGGGAGGCAGCAGUGGGGAAUAUUGGACAAUGGGGGCAACCCUGAUCCAGCAAUACCGCGUGUGUGAAGAAGGCCUGAGGGUUGUAAAGCACUUUCAAUUGUGAAGAAAAGUUAGCGGUUAAUAACCGUUAGCCUUGACGUUAACUUUAGAAGAAGCACCGGCUAACUCCGUGCCCAGCAGCCGCGGUAAUACGGAGGGUGCAAGCGUUAAUCGGAAUUACUGGGCGUAAAGCGUGCGUAGGCGGUUUAUUAAGUCAGAUGUGAAAGCCCCGGGCUUAACCUGGGAACUGCAUUUGAAACUGGUCAACUAGAGUAUGGUAGAGGAAAGUGGAAUUUCUGGUGUAGCGGUGAAAUGCGUAGAUAUCAGAAGGAACAUCAAUGGCGAAAGGCAGCUUUCUGGACCAAUACUGACGCUGAGGUACGAAAGCGUGGGUAGCAAACAGGAUUAGAUACCCUGGUAGUCCACGCCGUAAACGAUGAUAACUAGCCGUUGGGGGGAUUUACCCUUUAGUGGCGAAGCUAACGCGUUAAGUUAUCCGCCUGGGGAGUACGGCCGCAAGGUUAAAACUCAAAGGAAUUGACGGGGACCCGCACAAGCGGUGGAGCAUGUGGUUUAAUUCGAUGCAACGCGAAGAACCUUACCUGGUCUUGACAUCCUGCGAACUUUCUAGAAAUAGAUUGGUGCCUUCGGGAACGCAGUGACAGGUGCUGCAUGGCUGUCGUCAGCUCGUGUCGUGAGAUGUUGGGUUAAGUCCCGUAACGAGCGCAACCCCUAUCCUUAUUUGCCAGCACAUCAUGGUGGGAACUAUAAGGAGACUGCCGGUGAUAAACCGGAGGAAGGCGGGGACGACGUCAAGUCAUCAUGGCCCUUACGACCAGGGCUACACACGUGCUACAAUGGGAAGGACAAAGAGCCGCGAAGCCGCGAGGUGUAGCUAAUCUCAUAAACCUUUUCGUAGUCCGGAUUGGAGUCUGCAACUCGACUCCAUGAAGUCGGAAUCGCUAGUAAUCGUAGAUCAGAAUGCUACGGUGAAUACGUUCCCGGGUCUUGUACUCACCGCC